rnacentral:snoRNA from 1 species
AAAGCAAGUUGCAAGUAUAGCUCAUUAUUUUGUGGAAUUAUUGCUACUUACUACCCUGCUAAAGAGCAGCCAUGUUGAUGACCUCUGAUUUUACCCUUAUGAGAGUAAAAAUAACAGCCUGACAAAGACAGUC